CAAUAGCGUAUAUUAAAGUUGUUGCGGUUAAAAGCUCGUAGUUGGAUUUCUGCCGAGGACGACCGGUCCGCCCUCUGGGUGAGCAUCUGGGACGGCCUGGGCAUCCUCUUGGGGAACGUAGCUGCACUUGACUGUGUGGUGCGGUAUCCAGGACUUUUACUUUGAGGAAAUUAGAGUGUUUCAAGCAGGCGCACGCCUUGAAUACAUUAGCAUGGAAUAAUAAGAUAGGACCUCGGUUCUAUUUUGUUGGUUUCUAGAGCUGAGGUAAUGAUUAAUAGGGAUAGUUGGGGGCAUUCGUACUGGGCCGCCAGAGGUGAAAUUCUUUAACUGGCUCAUGACGAACCACUGCGAAAGCAUUUGCCAAGAAUGUUUUCAUUAAUCAAGAACGAAAGUCAGAGGGUCGAAGACGAUUAGAUACCAU
rnacentral:rRNA from 1 species